GCAAGUCUGGUGCCAGCAGCCGCGGUAAUUCCAGCUCCAAUAGCGUAUAUUAAAGUUGUUGCAGUUAAAAAGCUCGUAGUUGAACUUUGGGUCUGUUUGGCCGGUCCGAUUUUUUCGUGUACUGGAAUCCCAAGCGGACCUUUCCUUCUGGCUAACCUUGGGUCCUUGUGGCUCUUGGCGAACCAGGAUUUUUACUUUGAAAAAAUUAGAGUGUUCAAAGCAGGCGUAUUGCUCGAAUAUAUUAGCAUGGAAUAAUAGAAUAGGACGUUUGGUUCUAUUUUGUUGGUUUCUAGGACCAUCGUAAUGAUUAAUAGGGACGGUCGGGGGCAUCAGUAUUCAAUUGUCAGAGGUGAAAUUCUUGGAUUUAUUGAAGACUAACUACUGCGAAAGCAUUUGCCAAA
rnacentral:rRNA from 1 species